CACGUAGGGUGCGAGCGUUUGUCCGGAAUUAUUGGGCGUAAAGAGCUCGUAGGCGGUGUGUCGCGUCGGCCGUGAAAACCUGCAGCUUAACUGUGGGCUUGCGGUCGAUACGGGCAUCACUGGAGUUCGGCAGGGGAGACUGGAAUUCCUGGGUGUAGCGGUGAAAUGCGCAGAUAUCAGGAGGAACACCGGUGGGCGAAGGCGGGUCUCUGGGCCGAUGAC
rnacentral:rRNA from 1 species